AGUGGGAUAGCUGUGUCAAAUGGUGGUUCCAUUCCAAGUUUUCUGAGGAAUUUCUACACUGCUUUACAAAGUGGUUGCGCCAAUUUACAGUCCCACCAGCAAU
rnacentral:pre_miRNA from 1 species